rnacentral:rRNA from 1 species
UCUUCUCCGCCGGCGACCGGCGCGACGGGUGAGUAACACGUAUGCAACCUCGCCCCUGUCGAGGGGGACAACCCGCCGAAAGGCGGGCUAAACCCGCGUACAUGCCACCGGGGCAUCCCGGAGGCAGGAAAGGCUUCGGCCGGACAGGGAUGGGCAUGCGGCGCAUUAGGCAGUGGGCGGGGUAACGGCCCACCUAACCGACGAUGCGUAGGGGUUCUGAGAGGAAGGUCCCCCACACUGGUACUGAGACACGGACCAGACUCCUACGGAAGGCAGCAG